rnacentral:rRNA from 1 species
GCGGCAGACGGGUGAGUAACGCGGGGGAACGUACCUUUUGGUUCGGAACAACACAGGGAAACUUGUGCUAAUACCGGAUAAGCCCUUACGGGGAAAGAUUUAUCGCCGAAAGAUCGGCCCGCGUCUGAUUAGCUAGUUGGUGAGGUAACGGCUCACCAAGGCGACGAUCAGUAGCUGGUCUGAGAGGAUGAUCAGCCACAUUGGGACUGAGACACGGCCCAAACUCCUACGGGAGGCAGCAGUGGGGAAUAUUGGACAAUGGGCGCAAGCCUGAUCCAGCCAUGCCGCGUGAGUGAUGAAGGCCCUAGGGUUGUAAAGCUCUUUUGUGCGGGAAGAUAAUGACGGUACCGCAAGAAUAAGCCCCGGCUAACUUCGUGCCAGCAGCCGCGGUAAUACGAAGGGGGCUAGCGUUGCUCGGAAUCACUGGGCGUAAAGGGUGCGUAGGCGGGUCUUUAAGUCAGGGGUGAAAUCCUGGAGCUCAACUCCAGAACUGCCUUUGAUACUGAAGAUCUUGAGUUCGGGAGAGGUGAGUGGAACUGCGAGUGUAGAGGUGAAAUUCGUAGAUAUUCGCAAGAACACCAGUGGCGAAGGCGGCUCACUGGCCCGAUACUGACGCUGAGGCACGAAAGCGUGAGGAGCAAACAGGAUUA